CACGUAGGGCGCAAGCGUUGUCCGGAAUUAUUGGGCGUAAAGAGCUCGUAGGCGGUCUGCCACGUCCGCUGUGAAAACCUAGGGCUUAACCCUGGGCUUGCAGUAGAUACGGGCAGACUAGAGGUAGGUAGGGGAGAAUGGAAUUCCCGGUGUAGCGGUGAAAUGCGCAGAUAUCGGGAGGAACGCCGGUGGCGAAGGCGGGUCUCUGGGCCGAUACUGACGGCUGAGGAGCGAAAGCGUGGGGAGCGGAACAGG
rnacentral:rRNA from 1 species